rfam:Arabis alpina cultivar Pajares chromosome 2, whole genome shotgun sequence.
ACCCCAUGGUGUGGAAAAGAUCUCGUGUAUCCCUUAAACCGUUCUCAAGCUUCAUACAAUGACUCAUUGCUUCCUUGCUUGAAAGUUGCAAUGUCAUUCCUUAUCUU